GAUGAACGCUGGCGGCGUGCCUAAUACAUGCAAGUCGAGCGAACGGACGAGAAGCUUGCUUCUCUGAUGUUAGCGGCGGACGGGUGAGUAACACGUGGAUAACCUACCUAUAAGACUGGGAUAACUUCGGGAAACCGGAGCUAAUACCGGAUAAUAUUUUGAACCGCAUGGUUCAGUAGUGAAAGACGGUCUUGCUGUCACUUAUAGAUGGAUCCGCGCUGCAUUAGCUAGUUGGUAAGGUAACGGCUUACCAAGGCAACGAUGCAUAGUCGACCUGAGAGGGUGAUCGGCCACACUGGAACUGAGACACGGUCCAGACUCCUACGGGAGGCAGCAGUAGGGAAUCUUCCGCAAUGGGCGAAAGCCUGGCGGAGCAACGCCGCGUGAGUGAUGAAGGUCUUCGGAUCGUAAAACUCUGUUAUUAGGGAAGAACAUAUGUGUAAGUAACUGUGCACGUCUUGACGGUACCUAAUCAGAAAGCCACGGCUAACUACGUG
rnacentral:rRNA from 1 species